rnacentral:lncRNA from 1 species
CUGUUAUGUUGCAAAAUAUUCUAGGCAAUAUCAUGCAACAGGACAAUUGCAAUAUAAGGAAAAAUGGGCUUUAAAUAAAUCAGUCCUUACUACCAGGGCCUGUAUAGCAGUAUUACAAAAGGAAAACUGUUUCCUCAAUUACAGUAAGCUGUAGCUCAUCCUCUGACUCUUCUCUGCCUGAAUGUGCACAGAGAAACAUCUGCACAGCCUUUGCUCUGCAGAGAGGCUCCUCUGAAGGUGCCCCUUGCACACAAACCAGACCCUGGAUGUUCUCACACUUACGUCAGUUAACGUUGCCUGGUGCUGGAGGUGGCAUUGGGCAUAACCCAGCUUAUUAUGGCUGCUAUAUGGAUUGGCUUUGUGUGAAUGACCAUCUCCAUAUGCUGGCAAUAUCAAAGGUAGCUAUGGACUACAGAGUUGAUGGAUGGACUGUUAAGAGAAAAGGAGGAGGAGCAGUUGUGGCAAGGCUCACAGGAGCAAGCAAACUGAAAGUGAGAGGGAAAGCAAGUGAGAUCACGCAGGCUGACUUCAGCAGCAGAGAGAAGUAG